rnacentral:rRNA from 1 species
AUCAUGGCUCAGGAUGAACGCUGGCGGCGUGCCUAAUACAUGCAAGUCGAACGCACAGCGAAAGGUGCUUGCACCUUUCAAGUGAGUGGCGAACGGGUGAGUAACACGUGGAUAACCUACCUCAAGGUUGGGGAUAACAUUUGGAAACAGAUGCUAAUACCGAAUAAAACUUCGUAUCGCAUGAUACAAGGUUAAAAGGCGCUACGGCGUCACCUAGAGAUGGAUCCGCGGUGCAUUAGUUAGUUGGUGGGGUAAAGGCCUACCAAGACAAUGAUGCAUAGCCGAGUUGAGAGACUGAUCGGCCAUAUUGGGACUGAGACACGGCCCAAACUCCUACGGGAGGCUGCAGUAGGGAAUCUUCCACAAUGGGCGAAAGCCUGAUGGAGCAACGCCGCGUGUGUGAUGAAGGCUUUCGGGUCGUAAAGCACUGUUGUAUGGGAAGAACAGCUAGAGUAGGGAAUGACUUUAGUUUGACGGUACCAUACCAGAAAGGGACGGCUAAAUACGUG